rnacentral:lncRNA from 1 species
AAGAACCCCUAUAUGCCUGAUGUAUUGACUUGGAACUAUGUGCAAUAAAGGGAGCUUUCGUGUGCUUCUUGUUUUACAUUGCAGCACGAUUUCACCAUCGCUCCUGGUUGCCACCCGGAAGGUCCUCAUUGAUGAUAUAAACCGUCAGAUAUGUGCUGUUCUGAAGACUCCCUAUGACUUGGCUGUAGCGCACCUUGUAGGCACUUUGAAUGUGCCUCUUUCUUUGGGCCCCUACGCAACUCUGAGGUGUUCAUUGGCAAGGAUGCCCCUGGUCUGCGACACCUUUGCUGUUUUAGAUUUAUUUAUCGAUGUUGAGGUGCCAGGAAAGGGGAAUCUCUCCAUUCCCGACUCAGCCGGCUCCAUCAACCUGCCUCCCAGGGACAAAUUUAAGCACUGCCAGUCUUUCCAUCCAGAACUCUUCAACAUCCUCCUUUCUGUUUUAGCCCCAAAUGAGCCCCAAGAACUGAGCUGCACUCUGGAUAAGGUGAGCAGAUGUUGGUGCAGGCUGGCAGGUUGACUUGGAAUGACUAGAGUUAUGCUGUCCAACACCAGUUAAGCUGUCCAACACC